rnacentral:rRNA from 1 species
GUGGGGAAUAUUCCGCAAUGGGCGAAAGCCUGACGGAGCGACGCCUCGUGGGUGAAGAAGUCUUUCGGGAUGUAAAGCCCUGUCGGCAGGGAUGAAAAAAAUGACAGUACCUGCAAAGGAAGCAUCGGCUAACUACGUGCCAGCAGCCGCGGUAAUACGUAGGAUGCGAGCGUUGUUCGGAAUCACUGGGCGUAAAGCGUACGUAGGCGGUAAAUUGUGUCUGCUAUUAAAGACCGGGGCUCAACUCCGGGAAUGUAGCAGAAACUGAUUUGCUAGAGGUUAGUAGAGGGAAUCGGAAUUCUCAGUGUAGCGGUGAAAUGCGUAGAUAUUGGGAAGAACACCUGUGGCGAAAGCGGAUUUCUGGGCUAAUACUGACGCUGAGGUACGAAAGCGUGGGGAGCAAACGGGAUUAGAUACCCCAGUAGUCC